CAUAAUGAUGACUGCUGCUGAUGAACUAUUCAAUACUGUGGUGCCAAAUCUACUGUGAAAUGUUUCCAAGCCACAUUGCACCUGCUUUCUCCUCAUUUCUAGCUCUCCUUGCAUGUAUAACACAUUUAAUUUACUGUAUACUUCCAUAUAUCUUUCCUGUUGGCUUCUUAUUCUCAUAACAAUAGCACUCAGCCCCUUUUUUGAACAAACUGUCCACACAGACAGAAUGCCAAUGCAGCUACCUGUUUAGUGACCUGG
rnacentral:lncRNA from 1 species